CGGACGGGUGAGUAGUGUCUGGGAAACUGCCUGAUGGAGGGGGAUAACUACUGGAAACGGUAGCUAAUACCGCAUAACGUCGCAAGACCAAAGAGGGGGACCUUCGGGCCUCUUGCCAUCGGAUGUGCCCAGAUGGGAUUAGCUAGUAGGUGGGGUAACGGCUCACCUAGGCGACGAUCCCUAGCUGGUCUGAGGGGAUGACCAGCCACACUGGAACUGAGACACGGUCCAG
rnacentral:rRNA from 1 species